UACGUAGGUGGCAAGCGUUGUCCGGAUUUACUGGGCGUAAAGAGCGCGCAGGCGGUCGUCCAAGUCGCGUGUGAAAGCCCCCGGCUCAACUGGGGAGGGUCACGCGAUACUGGUCGACUCGAAGGCAGGAGAGGGUAGUGGAAUUCCCGGUGUAGUGGUGAAAUUCGUAGAUAUCAGGUGGAACACCAGUGGCGAAGGCGGCUUUCUGGACGGUAACUGACGCUGAGACGCGAAAGCGUGGGGAGCAAACAGG
rnacentral:rRNA from 1 species